AUAGAUAUAUAGUUGUAAUAAUACCAACGUUUGAUUUAUAGUUAUUAGAUUGUGUUUUUCCGUCCUGUUAGGUUUAAGGAUUAUACACUCGUUUAUUGUAUUGUUAGAGCGGUAAUUGUGUGCUUAGUUAUUAUAUUUUGCUUCUAUUCAAGAGCGUAUGGUUCAAUUUGAGUAGAUAUGUUCUUUUAUCUUUAACUUUUGUUAUCGAAUUUCUAUAAAAUGUUAUAAUAUUGAUUUCUUAAUAAUCAGUUAACUACGUGAUUAUUUGAUAUGUUUUUAAUCUAAAAUGUGAUAUGUAAAAUAUAAAAGAAAAAAAUAAAAAACUUUAAGAAAAAAAUUUCAGCCCACCCCAACCUAAAAUCCUAGGUCCGCCGUUGAUUCAUUUCACCUACAAAUCACCAGUAAAGAAGGAGAUCUCCCAUCUGCCUCCCUCCCUAAGCCCCUGUGUUAGAUAGUGACAAGUUAGCACGUCUACCUUUUACAAUACUGCAGAGAGAUCCGCACAAAUACAACACUAUAUAGUCGUCAUACGGUAUCAAGAUUUAGAUUUGUCUUUACAAGAGUUAGUACAUUUACGUUUUACAUUACAAAGAUCCGAACAAAUGCAACACCGUGUAGUCGUUUUCUUUACAGGAUGUAAAGAAGAAUCUAAAUAUAGAAUAAGUUUGUGAACAGUAAUGUAAAAUGGCAUGCAUGUUUUCUACGUACCCCCGACUGUUUAUUAUUAGGGUUGGCUGGGUUGAAGGAAUCUAAGGCAUAUGUUUUCUAUCACUGGGGUUGGAAACCAAUCGAAUAUAAUGUAGAGGGAUUCACAAGUCACGUAAUUGGGUAAUUCUUAAGGGCUUGGAUUAACACACAAUCCAAAAUUAUCAAUGAUCAAUGAUUUGUGGCUGCAGACUAUACCUUUCUCAAAUUCUCGAUCGACAAAAGAAGUGAAAAGAGAGAAACAGAUAGCAGUGUGAGUGACUAGUCUAGUACUCUGCCCUUUCUCAUCUCAUAACCAUAUAUUUUUGUCAUGUUUAGAUAUUCCCUGGGAACGGGUCCUGAUGAGCUGCCAUUCUCCACGAGAUCGAGAAGCCUGAAAAGUGGAAGAUCAUGGCAUCUACCUAAUAACGAUAAGAACACCAGUCUAGCUAGGAGUCUAGGACAAAUCAAUCUUAACCAUGUAGUGGGAGGAACCCAUUCAAAGUUGGCAGCCAGUGAAAGAUGGGCAAAAAGCAGAGGAUCCAAAAUCAGUGAGGCACAGAAGAAAAAG